AGCAGCCGCGGUAAUUCCAGCUCCAAUAGCGUAUAUUAAAGUUGUUGCAGUUAAAAAGCUCGUAGUUGAAUUUCGGGGUCAGCAGGUUGGUCGUGCCACUGGUAUGCACUGGCCUUGCUGAUUCCUCCCUCUUGAUGAACCGUAAUGCCAUUAAUUUGGUGUUGCAGGGAAUCAGGACUGUUACUUUGAAAAAAUUAGAGUGUUUAAAGCAGGCAAGCGCUUGAAUACGUUAGCAUGGAAUAAUGAAAUAGGACGUUUGAUCCUAUUUUGUUGGUUUCUAGGAUUGACGUAAUGAUUAAUAGGGAUAGUUGGGGGCAUUAGUAUUCAAUUGUCAGAGGUGAAAUUCUUGGAUUUAUUGAAGACUAACUACUGCGAAAGCAUUUGCCAAGGAUGUUUUCAUUAAUCAAGAACGAAAGUUAGGGGAUUGAAGACGAUCAGAUACCGUCGUAGUCUUAACCAUAAACUAUGCCGACUAGGGAUCGGAUGAUGACUUUUAAUUUUAAGUGUACUAUUACG
rnacentral:rRNA from 1 species